rnacentral:rRNA from 1 species
GAGUUUGAUCCUGGCUCAGAACGAACGCUGGCGGCGUGCUUAACGCAUGCAAGUCGAACGGGAUUCGGAGCUUGCUCCGAUGAGAGUGGCGCACGGGUGWGUAACGCGUGGAUAACYUGCCCUGGUAUCCGGAAUAACAUCUCGAAAGGGGUGCUAAUWCCGGAUAAGCCUACGGAGCCCUCGGUCUYUGCAGGAAAAGGUGGCCUCUAUUUAUAAACUACCGUAUCAGGAUGGGUCCGCGUACCAUUAGCUAGUUGGUGGGGUAAUGGCCUACCAAGGCGACGAUGGUUAGCUGGUYUGWGAGGAUGAUCAGCCACACUGGAACUGAGACACGGUCCAGACUCYUWCGGGAGGCAGCAGUGGGGAAUUUUGCGCAAUGGGGGAAACCCUGUCGCAGCAACGCCGCGUGAGUGAUGAAGGCUUUCGGGUCGUAAAGCUCUGUCAGAGGGGAAGAAAUGGAAACGGUUAAUACCCGUUUUUCUUGWCGGUACCCUCAAAGGAAGCACCGGCUAACUCCGUGCCAGCAGCCGCGGUAAUAC